UGAAUGAGAGGUGGCUGCUUCCAGUGUGACACCCACACUCCCACCCUCUCUUAUUGGGCGUCUGGACGUCACAGAGCUCCCGGGGAGGGCGAGAGACAGGAGCUGGUUGGAGCAGUUGGUGGCAGCCAGUGCAGUGGAGCAGCACAUACACAGUCACACAGACAGGGGAGGGAAACAGUUAAGGUGAAAAAGAGACUUUUUACAAUCAACAGAUUGUGGAACACUGACAUUAGGAGCAGAGAGAAGAAGAACGCUGAUGGAAAAUGAAUGGCUGCAGCUGAGUGAUUGCAAGCACAAAUAUGCCUGUCGGAAAAGAGAAUUAAACAGAGGUGAUAAGAGGCAUCAAUCAAUGUGGUCUUCAGGAAUGGAGCAGAUGUUGCUUCAGCAGCUCAGGAGCAAUAGAGACAAGCAGAGACUGUGCCCAGCCAUAGCGUAGAGG